rnacentral:misc_RNA from 1 species
AGAAAUUUAUAGAACAAAUAAGCGACCAAAAUCGGUGAAACCUAAGUUAUAUAGUAAUAUGGUAAUACCGAGGUAAGAUUAUAGAUUGCGAAAGGCUAUAAUCUACCGUAGAGAGUAGGAACUGAAUAAAUAUAACGUUCCCAAGAGUGGUUGCCACCUUAGCGGAUAAUGCCGAAGGUGAAAAUGUACUCCGAUACUCCGUAAGAAAUGCGGAG